rnacentral:rRNA from 1 species
GACGAACGCUGGCGGCGUGCUUAACACAUGCAAGUCGAGCGAGUGGAUUCCCUUCGGGGAUGAAGCUAGCGGCGGACGGGUGAGUAACACGUGGGCAACCUGCCUUAUAGAGGGGGAUAGCCUUCCGAAAGGAAGAUUAAUACCGCAUAAUAUCAGAUUAUCGCAUGGUAGACUGAUCAAAGGAGCAAUCCGCUAUAAGAUGGGCCCGCGUCGCAUUAGCUAGUUGGUGAGGUAACGGCUCACCAAGGCGACGAUGCGUAGCCGACCUGAGAGGGUGAUCGGCCACAUUGGGACUGAGGCACGGCCCAGACUCCUACGGGAGGCAGCAGUGGGGAAUAUUGCACAAUGGGGGAAACCCUGAUGCAGCAACGCCGCGUGAGUGAUGAAGGCCUUCGGGUUGUAAAGCUCUUUGAUCAGGGACGAUAAUGACGGUACCUGAAGAACAAGCCACGGCUAACUACGUGCCAGCCGCCGCGGUAAAAC